AGGUAAUAGAUACCCCGGUAGUCCACGCCGUAAACGAUGAGUACUAGGUGUAGGAGGUAUCGACCCCUUCUGUGCCGCAGUAAAACACAAAUAAGUACUCCGCCUGGGAAGUACGAUCGCAAGAUUAAAACUCAAAGGAAUUGACGGGGGCCCGCACAAGCAGCGGAGCAUGUGGUUUAAAUUCGAAGCAACGCGAAGAACCUUACCUGGACUUGACAUACCCUGAAUAUCUUAGAGAUAAGAGAAGCCCUUCGGGGCAGGGAUACAGGUGGUGCAUGGUUGUCGUCAGCUCGUGUCGUGAGAUGUUAGGUUAAGUCCUGCAACGAGCGCAACCCCUGUUGUUAGUUGCUAACAUUAAGUUGAGCACUCUAGCAAGACUGCCGCGGUUAACGCGGAGGAAGGUGGGGAUGACGUCAAAUCAUCAUGCCCCUUAUGUCCAGGGCAACACACGUGCUACAAUGGGCAGUACAGAGAGAUGCAAGACCGCGAGGUGGAGCAAACCUCAAAAACUG
rnacentral:rRNA from 1 species